UUAGCGGCGCUUUUAAGCGCCACUAAAAGAGCUGCAAAAAAGGCCG
rfam:Gossypium raimondii chromosome 7, whole genome shotgun sequence.